AGGGGAAUAUUGCACAAGGGGCGGAAGCCUGAUGCAGCGACGCCGCGUGGGGGAUGAAGGCCUUCGGGUUGUAAACUCCUUUCGACAGGGAAGAAGCUUUUGUGACGGUACCUGUAUAAGAAGCACCGGCUAACUACGUGCCAGCAGCAGCGGUAAUACGUAGGGUGCGAGCGUUGUCCGGAAUUACUGGGCGUAAAGAGCUCGUAGGUGGUUUGUCGCGUCGUCUGUGAAAUUCCGGGGCUUAACUCCGGGCGUGCAGGCGAUACGGGCUGACUUGAGUGCUUUAGGGGAGACUGGAAUUCCUGGUGUGGCGGUGGAAUGCGCAGAGAUCAGGAGGAACACCGAUGGCGAAGGCAGGUCUCUGGGCAGUCACUAACGCUGAGGAGCGAAAGCAUGGGUAGCGAAAAGG
rnacentral:rRNA from 1 species